rnacentral:rRNA from 1 species
CUUGCUCUCGGGUGACGAGCGGCGGACGGGUGAGUAAUGUCUGGGAAACUGCCUGAUGGAGGGGGAUAACUACUGGAAACGGUAGCUAAUACCGCAUAACGUCGCAAGACCAAAGUGGGGGACCUUCGGGCCUCAUGCCAUCAGAUGUGCCCAGAUGGGAUUAGCUAGUAGGUGGGGUAAUGGCUCACCUAGGCGACGAUCCCUAGCUGGUCUGAGAGGAUGACCAGCCACACUGGAACUGAGACACGGUCCAGACUCCUACGGGAGGCAGCAGUGGGGA